rnacentral:rRNA from 1 species
UACGUAGGCAGCAAGCGUUGUUCGGAGUUACUGGGCGUAAGGGGUGUGUAGGCGGUUGUUUAAGUUUGGUGUGAAAUCUCCCGGCUCAACUGGGAGGGUGCGCCGAAUACUGAAUGACUAGAGUGUGGGAGAGGUGAGUGGAAUUCCUGGUGUAGCGGUGAAAUGCGUAGAGAUAUGGAGGAACACCAGUGGCGAAGGCGGCUCACUGGACGACUGUUGACGCUGAGGUACGAAAGCGUGGGGAGCAAACAGG